CGUAUUUUUCAAAAGCUCAGCAGAUGAUACUAGGGUGUAGUAGGGGCUGAGCAUCGCUGGACAAGGUUCUCGCUGCUUAGAGUGUGGUUCAGGGAUCAGCAGCGUCGACCUCGCCUGCAAGUGUCAGAGCCUCACCUGCAAGUGUCAGAGCCUCACCUGCAAGUGUCAGAGCCACAAAACCUCAGGCCGCGCCUCGCCCGAGACCUACUGCAUCAGAGCUGUAUUUUAACAAGAUCCCCUGGUGGUUCACAUGCACACGGACAUUUCAGGAGCACUGGAUUAGAUGACUUCCAAGGUCACUUUCCGCCCUGAGAGAUCUCAGUGACGCUCUAGCAGCAGCUCCAGGAAUCUGGACCUGGAAACUUCCCUUCUGGCACAGAACUGCCAGACCUUUAUUUUGUCAAGAUGCCAAAACAAAACGAAAUGAAGUGAAAAACAAACAACUCGCAUCACCACGAUUUCUUUUUUUUUUUUAAAGAAGGGCACUUUCAUGCCAAAUAAAUAAAUAAAGCUCUUGACAUAGC